rnacentral:rRNA from 1 species
CAAUACGGGAAUGGCGCACGGCGCACGGGUGCGUAACACGUGGGUAAUCUGCCCUCUGAUGGGGAAUAACCCGCCGAAAGGCGGGCUAAUACCGCAUAACAUUCCUUGGACUCCGGUUCGAGGAUUCAAAGGCGCAAGUCGUCGGAGGUGGAGCCCGCGCACGAUUAGCUAGUUGGUAGGGUAAUGGCCUACCAAGGCUAUGAUCGUUAGCUGGUCUGAGAGGAUGGCCAGCCACACUGGAACUGAGACACGGUCCAGACUCCUACGGGAGGCAGCAGUGGGGAAUCUUGCACAAUGGGCGAAAGCCUGAUGCAGCGACGCCGCGUGGGGGAUGAAGCUUCUCGGAGUGUAAACCCCUUUCGACCGGGACGAAUGCCCGCAAGGGACUGACGGUACCGGUAUAAGAAGCCCCGGCUAACUACGUGCCAGCAGCCGCGGUAAGACGUAGGGGGCCAGCGUUGCUCGGAAUUACUGGGUGUUAAGGGUUCGUA